rnacentral:tRNA from 1 species
GCGGAUGUGGCUCAGUGGUAGAGCGCUUGCCUAGCACGUGUGAGGCACUGAGUUCGAACCUCAGCACCACA